UCCAGCCAUGCCGCGUGUGUGAAGAAGGCCUUUUGGUUGUAAAGCACUUUAAGCAGUGAAGAAGACCUAACGGUUAAUACCCGUUAGCGAUGACAUUAGCUGCAGAAUAAGCACCGGCUAACUCUGUGCCAGCAGCCGCGGUAAUACAGAGGGUGCAAGCGUUAAUCGGAAUUACUGGGCGUAAAGCGAGCGUAGGUGGCUUGAUAAGUCAGAUGUGAAAUCCCCGGGCUUAACCUGGGAACUGCAUCUGAUACUGUUAAGCUAGAGUAGGUGAGAGGGAAGUAGAAUUCCAGGUGUAGCGGUGAAAUGCGUAGAGAUCUGGAGGAAUACCGAUGGCGAAGGCAGCUUCCUGGCAUCAUACUGACACUGAGGCUCGAAAGCGUGGGUAGCAAACAGGAUUAGAUACCCUGGUAGUCCACGCCGUAAACGAUGUCUACUAGUCGUUGGGUCCCUUGAGGACUUAGUGACGCAGCUAACGCAAUAAGUAGACCGCCUGGGGAGUACGGCCGCAAGGUUAAAACUCAAAUGAAUUGACGGGGGCCCGCACAAGCGGUGGAGCAUGUGGUUUAAUUCGAUGCAACGCGAAGAACCUUACCUGGUCUUGACAUACACAGAAUCUUGUAGAGAUACGAGAGUGCCUUCGGGAAUUGUGAUACAGGUGCUGCAUGGCUGUCGUCAGCUCGUGUCGUGAGAUGUUGGGUUAAGUCCCGCAACGAGCGCAACCCUUGUCCUUAGUUACCAGCGGGUUAAGCCGGGAACUCUAAGGAUACUGCCAGUGACAAACUGGAGGAAGGCGGGGACGACGUCAAGUCAUCAUGGCCCUUACGACCAGGGCUACACACGUGCUACAAUGGUAGGUACAGAAGGGCAGCUACACAGCGAUGUGAUGCGAAUCUCAAAAAGCCUAUCGUAGUCC
rnacentral:rRNA from 1 species